GUUCACAACAAUUAACAUCACCCGUAGCCCGUGAAGUUCUCUUCUCCCCAUAGUUUAUUUACUUGUCUUCUAUAUAAAGGGCUAUAAAAAGUUGAGCAAAGUCAUCCCGUGCCAUUCUAACUAGAAGCAAUACUGAUGGCCCAAAACAAGAUGAUUGUGAUGGUUCUCCUCCUUUCCACCUUUCUUGUGGUGGCAAGAUCGUUGUGGGUUCCAGAAGAACCCUCAAAUGCGGAUGACAUAAGAGGUGCUUGCAUCGAGGAGUGCACCAAAGAAAAUAAGGCUCCUGGCGACAAGAAGACAUGCGAAGUGUUGUGCACCAAGCUCACAAAAAAGCCUAGCGAAGAAGGCAAACAUGAUUGAUGAAGUAGAACUCCGAUAAUAUAUACACUAGUGGAUCAGUGGUCAUCUUUGUAGCCAUGUCUACCACACGAUGGCCUUGAUUAUAUUGUCUUAUUGUUUUGUUUUUGGUUUCCAAUAGUAUCCUAAUUCCUUGUUCAUGUAACCUAAUGUCACUCAAAGCAUUUUAUAUGCCUCACUUAAUUAAAUAAAUACAAAGGCAAAGGCAUGUUAUGUUUUGAUCUAAUUGGAAUAUCAUAGGUCAAACCGAUCUAUAAAAAGAAUGGCAAAGAAUCUUAUAUAUAGAUAUGUUCAAUGUGCAAAUAUGAUCAAAUACUGAAAAAGUUGAUACCAAUAUUAGUUGUUGUUGAGUUUCUCACAACAUUUUGAGUAAAUCUCUUGAAAAGCAAAACGUGAACGAUAUGGUAGAACCCCACCGUAAUAUAUCGUGGUGUAUCAAUGGUCUUUAUGUAGCCAUGUCUAUCACAAAAUGGCCUUGAUUAAAUUAUCUUAUUGUUUGUGUUUUGGUUCCACAAGUAUCCUAACUUCUUAUUCAUGUACCCUAAUGUCACUCAAUGCAUUUUCUAUGACUUACUUAACUAAAUAAAUACGAAGGCAAUGGCCUAAUUUUUACGAUAUAAUUGAAAUAUCAUAGGUUGGUAUACAUCCCAAAAUUUCUAAUUUUAUGUUGCAAAUAUAAAACAAUAAAAACAAUUUUAAUCUUUUUAUACAACUUUUCAAGAUUAGAUUAUAGGUGCACAUGUUUAGGUAUAAUAAACUAUUUUUUUGUUUCAAACGAUAAUAACAUGUAAAAACGUGAUAAUAGUACGAAAACUGCGAAUGGUGCAUUUUGACCAUCAUAGUAGCCUCUCUGUAGCUCUGUGUUUUUCCAAUGUUAAUGAUCAUGCACACACCCACUUAUAUGUUGGUUGUUAUCCACCUAGAUGAGCAAUGUGAUACUGUCACACUCGGAUUUAAGGACAAAUCCAGAUGCAUCUCAAAUGUGUGCUAGGAUCAAGUACCAUACAUAUGAUGACUCAUGGUACAUAAAUCAAUGUCACAUCUUUAUUAUAUAAUAGAAGUUCUAUACAAAAUAACUAUAUAAAUACAUCAUAAGAUGACUAAGAUCUUCCACAACUAUAGCUGAUUGGGAGACGAUGACCUGGACCCCUCCGAACUCAUCUUAGCAUCUUUCGGGCUCCUCAUCUUGUGGUACCUGUUCUUGACCUGGUGUGAUUAUAGCAAGGGUGAGCUCCAUAUGGUCAUCACAUAGCAAGUGUGGGGAAAAGUAUAGUGUAAGGCUUACCAAAGAAAAUGGUUAAGGAUGAGCAUUGCUUUUAAUUUUGUUGGUCCAAAUUUUAUUAGCAAUUACUAAGUAUAAGUGAAUACCAACCCAAUUAAAUAAUUGAUAAGAAAUAAAUACCCACAAUGCAUGGAGUUGUAUUUUGAGAAAACCAAGGAGAUAUGAUUACCUUCUUGCACUACUAGUAUAUCAAAUUGCAGAUGUAUGUAUAUUAUUUUUGUAUCUAGAUCUUUCCAUGUGAAGGGCAAGCCUAGUGCGUUGGUGACAGCUGUCCCACUUAGUCGCCAAGUUGUAAGUUAUUGACCAUUUCCUUAUUUAAUAUUAUGAUCUUAGAUUUAUUUGUUCUUAAACUGUAUUUGUUUCAAGCCUUGAACUGGUCACAUCCAUUGUAACCUCAAGUUUAUAACACCGUUAAUUUACAAGACAUAUGGAUAAUAUUAUGCAAGUUGUUGCUUCUCCAGCAAGUCUGAUGCGUGUGGCUUUGGCAUGUUGCUGAUUUAGUUUCCAUAUUUAGCAAUUUAGGGACUAAAGUGGAAUAAAAUGGACGGACUAAAAAUUAGUCCCUAGAAACCAAACACCCCCUAAGUUAUCUGGUUUAUCAUGAAUGUAGCGCCAAAAACUACUAAACUUCAUUUUUUAUCUAAGUGAGGGGCAGCACAUGUCAGCGUCAACCGGUAAUCACUGUCUAUUUCAAGGUGGCUCGAUGGUAGAUCAUCCACCAAUGAAUAAUGUUAGCUAGCGACAACACUAGGAGAGUGGAGGUGACCAAUUUUGGGUUGCCCGGUGACUCUGCUAACUCGGGCAGGUACUGACUGGUCUCAUUACUCGCAUGUCUGGACGAUAUCCGAUGACUCUAGCUAAAAAUAUACAAAUGUUUGCAUGUCUGCCACACGACACUUAAAUCUCUGGUCUCCCGGCAAAAAAUGAAGAUCAAACUAGCAAUUAGAAAUUGUACGUUCACAACAAUUAACAUCACCCGUAGCCCGUGAAGUUCUCUUCUCCCCAUAGUUUAUUUACUUGUCUUCUAUAUAAAGGGCUAUAAAAAGUUGAGCAAAGUCAUCCCGUGCCAUUCUAACUAGAAGCAAUACUGAUGGCCCAAAACAAGAUGAUUGUGAUGGUUCUCCUCCUUUCCACCUUUCUUGUGGUGGCAAGAUCGUUGUGGGUUCCAGAAGAACCCUCAAAUGCGGAUGACAUAAGAGGUGCUUGCAUCGAGGAGUGCACCAAAGAAAAUAAGGCUCCUGGCGACAAGAAGACAUGCGAAGUGUUGUGCACCAAGCUCACAAAAAAGCCUAGCGAAGAAGGCAAACAUGAUUGAUGAAGUAGAACUCCGAUAAUAUAUACACUAGUGGAUCAGUGGUCAUCUUUGUAGCCAUGUCUACCACACGAUGGCCUUGAUUAUAUUGUCUUAUUGUUUUGUUUUUGGUUUCCAAUAGUAUCCUAAUUCCUUGUUCAUGUAACCUAAUGUCACUCAAAGCAUUUUAUAUGCCUCACUUAAUUAAAUAAAUACAAAGGCAAAGGCAUGUUCUGUUUUGAUCUAAUUGGAAUAUCAUAGGUCAAACCGAUCUAUAAAAAGAAUGGCAAAGAAUCUUAUAUAUAGAUAUGUUCAAUGUGCAAAUAUGAUCAAAUACUGAAAAAGUUGAUACCAAUAUUAGUUAUUGUUGAGUUUCUCACAACAUUUUGAGUAAAUCUCUUGAAAAGCAAAACGUGAACGAUAUGGUAGAACCCCACCGUUAUAUAUCGUGGUGUAUCAAUGGUCUUUAUGUAGCCAUGUCUAUCACAAAAUGGCCUUGAUUAAAUUAUCUUAUUGUUUUUGUUUUGGUUCCACAAGUAUCCUAACUUCUUAUUCAUGUACCCUAAUGUCACUCAUUGCAUUUUCUAUGACUUACUUAACUAAAUAAAUACGAAGGCAAUGGCCUAAUUUUUACGAUAUAAUUGAAAUAUCAUAGGUUGGUAUACAUCCCAAAAUUUCUAAUUUUGUGUUGCAAAUAUAAAACAAUAAAAACAAUUUUAAUCUUUUUAUACAACUUUUCAAGAUUAGAUUAUAGGUGCACAUGUUUAGGUAUAAUAAACUAUUUUUUUUUGUUUCAAACGAUAAUAACAUGUAAAAACGUGAUAAUAGCACGAAAACUGCGAACAGUGCAUUAUGUCCAUCAUAGUAGCCUCUCUGUAGCUCCGUGUUUUUCCAAUGUUAAUGAUCAUGCACAUGCCCACUUAUAUGUUGGUUGUAAUCCACCUAUAUGAGCAUUGUGAUACUGUCACACUCGGAUUUAAGGACAAAUUCAGAUGCAUCUCAAAUGUGUGCUUGGAUCAAGUAUCAUACAUAUGAUGACUAAUAGUACAGAAAUCAAUGUCACAUCUUUAUUAUAUAAUAGAAGUUCUAUACAAAAUAACUAUAUAAAUACAUCAUAAGACGACUACGAUCUUCCACAACUAUAGUUGACUGGGAGACGAUAACCUAGACCCCUCUGAACUCAUCUUAGCAUCCUUCAUGCUCUUCAGUUUGCGAUACCUGUUCUUGACCUGGUGUGGUUAUAGCAAGGGUGAGCUCCCAUAUGGUCAUCACACAACAAGUGUGGGGAAAAGUAUAAUGUAAGGCUUACCAAGGAAAAUGGUUAAGGAUGAGCAUUGCUUUUAAUUUUGUAGGUCCAAAUUUUAUUAGCAAUUUCAAAUAUAAGUGAAUACCAACCCAAUUAAAUAAUUGAUCAGAAAUAAAUACCCACAAUGCAUGGAGUUGUAUUUUGAGAAAAUCAUGGAGAUAUGAUUACCUUCUUGCACUACUAGUAUAUCAAAUUGCAGAUGUAUGUAUAUUAUUUUUGUAUCGAGAUCUUUCCAUGUGAAGGGCAAGCCUAGUGCGUUGGUGACAGCUGUCCCACUUAGUCGCCAAGUUGUAAUUUAUUGACCAUUUCCAUAUUUAAUAUUAUGGUCUUAGAUUUAUUUGUUCUUAAACUGUAUUUGUUUCAAGCCUUGAACUGGUCACAUCCAUUGUAACCUCAAGUUCAUAACACAAUUAAUUUACAAGACAUAUGGAUAAUAUUAUGCAAGUUGUUGCUUCUCCAUCAAGUCUGAUUCGUGUGGCUUUGGCAUGUUGCUGAUUUAGUUUCCAUAUUUAGCAAUUUAGGGACUAAAGUGGAAUAAAAUGGAGGGACUAAAAAUUAGUCUCUAGGAUCCAAACACCCCAUAAGUUAUCUGGUUUAUCAUGAAUGUAGCGCCAAAAAGUACUAAACUUCAUUUUUAUUUUUAUCUAGGUGAGGGGCAGCGCAUGUCAGCAUCAACAGGUAAUCGCUGUCUAUUUCAAGGUGGUUUGAUGGUAGAUCAUCCACCAAUGAAUAAUGUUAGCUAGCGGCAACUCUAGGAGAACGGAGGUGACCAAUUUUGGGUUGCCCGGUGACUCUGCUACCUCAGGCAGGUACUGACUGGUCUCAUUACUCGCAUGUCUGGACGAUAUCCGAUGACUCUAGCUAAAAAUAUACAAAUGUUUGCAUGUGUGCCACACGACACUCAAAUCUCUGGUCUCCCGGCAAAAACGAAGAUCAAACUAGCAAUUAGAAAUUGUACGUUCACAACAAUUAACAUCACCCGUAGCCCGUGAAGUUCUCUUCUCCCCAUAGUUUAUUUACUUUUCUUCUAUGUAAAGGGCUAAUGAAAAGUUGAGCAAAGUCAUCCCAUGACAUUCUAAAUAGAAGCACUACUGAUGGCCCAAAACAAGAUGAUUGUGGUGGUUCUCCUCCUUGCCACCUUUCUUGUGGUGGCAAGAUCGUUGUGGGUUCCAGAAGAACCCUCAAAUGCGGAUGACAUAAGAGGUGCUUGCAUCGAGGAGUGCACCAAAGAAAAUAAGGCUCCUGGCGACAAGAAGACAUGCGAAGUGUUGUGCACCAAGCUCACAAAAAAGCCUAGCGAAGAAGGCAAACAUGAUUGAUGAAGUAGCACUCCGAUAAUAUAUACCCUAGUGGAUGAGUGGUCAUCUUUGUAGCCAUGUCUGCCACACGAUGGCCUUGAUUAUAUUGUCUUAUUGUUUUGUUUUUGGUUUCCACUAGUAUCCUAAUUCCUUGUUCAUGUAACCUAAUGUCACUCAAAGCAUUUUAUAUGCUUCACUUAAUUAAAUAAAUACAAAGGCAAAGGCAUGUUCUGUUUUGGUC
rnacentral:lncRNA from 1 species